rnacentral:lncRNA from 1 species
UCCAUCAAGAGUCCAUGUAAAUCCGGAAUGAACACGCAAAGGCAUAAUUCACCAUAUCCCUUCCAAAUCAAGUAGAGUCCAUGUGCGUUUCAAUACAUUUAGCAAACGCAUGCUCCUAUGGUUUGGAGCCACUUGAUUCAGAUGAAUGAAGUCUGUUUAAGAUCUUCAUGUAUAUCUCCGAUCUCAUAGAGAUGUUAUUAUGACCACAUUCAUAGGCUGCAUGUUCAGUUAUUCGGAAACUACCAAACUAACAAAGUAGUGGAGUUCAAUGACAUCCAUUACGAGAGCAUAUCUCAUCGUAGUUGAUCCCAGUGCGUGUUAGUGAAAGACCUUGCGCCAUAAGGUGAGUCUAAGCUCUUACUCUCACUACGCUAUCUAACAAAGGCAUAGUUGAUAGGGUUUAGCUUGCGGUGUCGGCAUCACCUGCCCAAGGACCUAUCUCUUUGUUAAUGCUGGAUCGUAUCUUUCCAUUAGGCCAAUCAACUAAGUUGAUAUCCAUCAACGAAGGGUGGUUCGAUAGUAGACUCAUUAUCCCACGUCCUCAUGUACACUAGUGUAAUACUUGUAGAGAUCUCUAUAUGGAUUGGAUUUGACAUUGAGGCGUCCCCCAACGAUAAUCACAAUUCAGACUUCAUGAGACGGAUUUGAGUAUCACUGAUCAAUGGAUCAGGUUGUGCCAAGCUCGCUUUCUUCCUAGUGCGAGAAAGUAUCGAAUCUAAGGGCCUCCCUCCUUUUGGGGAGCCACACGGCCUUGUGACACUAAUUUUGCCACUAUAUGGCGUCACUAUAUCACCAUCCAUGGUGAUGGCGUCAAGACCAACACCUUUUGGUCGCGCCAUGUCCUCUUGAUGGGACAUCAAUCCUUGCAAAUAUAUUUGCAGCAUGUGAUCUCGUCACUUUAACACUUUAAGCAUUUGGGAUCAAGAUGAGACUUAGUGGGGACAAACCACGACAAUUCACGUCGUUCCACUUGAACACUUGUGUUCUUAUCUCCCCCUAACGGCGGGAAUAUUGUCUCAUCAAAGUGACAAUCCGCAAUUUAGCGGUGAAUGAGAUCGCCUGACAAGGUUCCUACAUAUGCGGAUUAUAGGUGGAGGUUCAUAUCCAACCUAAACUUAUUCAUCUCAAAUGACCCAUCAUUGUACGCAGUGACAAUGCGAUUUGGCACCUAGAAAUAACAUCUAGCCGAGCUCAAGGAUUGUAGAUCCGUUUCAAUCAUGCCGAGCUCAAGGAUUGCAAUUUCGUGUCAAUCCUGGUACACAAUCACGAGCUGUAGUACAACAAAAUUCAAUGAUGGUGGUUCAUAGAUGAAUAGUAAAGCUGCAUGCAAAUAUUGCAUAGCCCCAAGACGCAAUAGAAAGAGUGGUGCGCAUCAAUAAUGUUCGAGCGACAAGCUAAAGUUGCUUGGUCGUAGCCUCGGUGAGACCGUAUUGCUUGUGAACAUGGGGUACAGGACACUUCAACUUACAUCCUGAUGAACUUCUUUAAAGAAUGGGUAGUGAGCCCGUAGAAGUAUAAGCAAUAUAAGCAGUAUAAGCAGUAGAUAAUAGUGUAACACGUGACCAGUGUGUUAACACGUCAACCAACACCAUAAACCAUAAAAAGGUAUCCGCAAGUUGGUUAUAUCUAUCUACAUAGUUUGAUGUAAGAAUAGAAUGUUCACUUUUGUGUUAUUUAGCGUAGGAGGGUCUCACUCCUUAUUUAGCUAAAUAAUAGGCUUUCAAAACGAGCAAUGAGCAUUGCAGGGGGCCAAUGCGACAUAGAGGAAAGGCCGAUGCACCUCAAUUGCUUGAGGAAUUGACCGGACGACCUCUAGGAAGUUGGAGUCGUGUUCGGGUGACGUCAAUGUCCCCCGGGUCACCACCAUGCUU